rnacentral:rRNA from 1 species
GAUGAACGCUGGCGGCGUGCCUAAUACAUGCAAGUCGAGCGAAGAGGGGACGGGUGAGUAACAUGUGGAUAACCCCCUCUAAGACGGGGAUAACUUCGGGAAACCGGAGCCAAACCGGCUACUUAUAGACGGAUUCUACCUGCAUUUGCUAGUUGGUAAGGUAACGGCUUACCAAGGCAACGAUCCAUAGCCGACCUGAGAGGGUGAUCGGCCACACUGGGACUGAGACACGGUCCAGACUCCUACGGGAGGCAGCAGUGGGGAAUAUUCCGCAAUGGGCGAAAGCCUGACGGAGCAACGCCGCGUGAGUGAUGAAGGUCUUCGGGUCGUAAAGCUCUGUUAUUAGGGAAGCGGUACCUGCUCAAAAAGCCUCGGCUAACUACGUGCCAGCAGCCGCGGUAAUAC